UACGGGGGGGGGCAAGCGUUUGUUCGGAAUUACUGGGCGUAAAGGGCUCGUAGGCGGCCAACUAAGUCAGACGUGAAAUCCCCAGGCUCAACCUGGGAACUGCGUCUGAUACUGGAUGGCUUGAAUCCGGGAGAGGGAUGCAGAAUUCCAGGUGUAGCGGUGAAAUGCGUAGAUAUCUGGAGGAACACCGGUGGCGAAGGCGGCGUUCUGGACUGCAACUGACACUGAGAAACGAAAGCCAGGGGAGCAAACGGGG
rnacentral:rRNA from 1 species